rnacentral:rRNA from 1 species
AUUGAACGCUGGCGGAAUGCUUUACACAUGCAAGUCGAGCGGCAGCGCGGGGGCAACCCUGGCGGCGAGCGGCGAACGGGUGAGUAAUACAUCGGAACGUGUCCUUGAGUGGGGGAGUAGCUCGGCGAAAGACCGGAUUAAUACCGCAUAAGCUCUGAGGAGGAAAGCGGGGGAUUCGCAAGAACCUCGCGCUGUUGGAGCGGCCGAUGUCGGAUUAGCUAGUUGGUGGGGAAAGGCCCACCAAGGCGACGAUCCGUAGCUGGUCUGAGAGGAUGAUCAGCCACACUGGAACUGAGACACGGUCCAGACUCCUACGGGAGGCAGCAGUGGGG